AACGAACGCUGGCGGCAUGCCUAACACAUGCAAGUCGAACGAGACCCCUGACUUCGGUUGGCGGGUCUAGUGGCGCACGGGUGCGUAACGCGUGGGAAUCUGCCCUUGGGUUCGGAAUAACUCAGAGAAAUUUGAGCUAAUACCGGAUGAUGACGAAAGUCCAAAGAUUUAUCGCCCAGGGAUGAGCCCGCGUAAGAUUAGCUUGUUGGUGGGGUAAUGGCCUACCAAGGCGACGAUCUUUAGCUGGUCUGAGAGGAUGAUCAGCCACACUGGGACUGAGACACGGCCCAGACUCCUACGGGAGGCAGCAGUGGGGAAUAUUGGACAAUGGGCGCAAGCCUGAUCCAGCAAUGCCGCGUGAGUGAUGAAGGCCUUAGGGUUGUAAAGCUCUUUUACCAGGGAUGAUAAUGACAGUACCUGGAGAAUAAGCUCCGGCUAACUCCGUGCCAGCAGCCGCGGUAAU
rnacentral:rRNA from 1 species